AAAAGAGGAGCGGCAGAACAUGAGUACCGCGUGCGGAGGAAGAGAAUAAGGCUUUUCCGUUAUUACGCCCGCGGAAAAGGGUAUCGCCGCCGAAGCGUGCCGGACGCCUUAUGCGGCGCGCUGGGAGUACGGGAGAAUACCUUUAUUCCUGUCACCGCCCCCGGUGAAGCGCUUUUU
rnacentral:ncRNA from 2 species